rnacentral:rRNA from 1 species
UACGAAGGGGGCUAGCGUUGCUCGGAAUCACUGGGCGUAAAGCGCACGUAGGCGGAUCUUUAAGUCAGAGGUGAAAUCCCAAGGCUCAACCUUGGAACUGCCUUUGAUACUGGGGAUCUCGAGUCCGGAAGAGGUGAGUGGAACUGCGAGUGUAGAGGUGAAAUUCGUAGAUAUUCGCAAGAACACCAGUGGCGAAGGCGGCUCACUGGCCCGGUACUGACGCUGAGGUGCGAAAGCGUGGGGAGCAAACAGG